rnacentral:rRNA from 1 species
AACGAACGCUGGCGGCAUGCCUAACACAUGCAAGUCGAACGCCCCGUUCGGGUCUCGGCGCGCAGGUGAGCAUCGCGCGUGGACAUAUCCCUUGGGUUUGAACAAAUCCCCGAGACUGGAGUUCUUAUCCCAGAAGCUCUAACGGGGCCAAAGAUUUAUCGCCGUUGGAUGGGCCCGCGUUGGAUUAGCUAGUUGGUAGGGUAAACGCCUACCAAGGCGACGCUCCAUAGCUGGUCUGAGAGGAUGAUCAGCCACACUGGGACUGAGACACGGCCCAGACUCCUACGGGAGGCAGCAGUGGGGAAUAUUGGACAAUGGGCGAAAGCCUGAUCCAGCCAUGCCGCGUGAGUGAUGAAGGCCUUAGGGUUGUAAAGCUCUUUUGCCCGGGAAGAUAAUGACAGUACCGGGAGAAUAAGCCCCGGCUAACUCCGUG